rnacentral:rRNA from 1 species
UACGAAGGGGGCUAGCGUUGCUCGGAAUCACUGGGCGUAAAGGGUGCGUAGGCGGGGCUUUAAGUCAGGGGUGAAAUCCUGGAGCUCAACUCCAGAACUGCCUUUGAUACUGAGGAUCUUGAGUUCGGGAGAGGUGAGUGGAACUGCGAGUGUAGAGGUGAAAUUCGUAGAUAUUCGCAAGAACACCAGUGGCGAAGGCGGCUCACUGGCCCGGUACUGACGCUGAGGUGCGAAAGCGUGGGGAGCAAACAGG